AUUGAACGCUGGCGGCAGGCCUAACACAUGCAAGUCGAACGGUAGCACAGAGAACUUGCUCUCGGGUGACGAGUGGCGGACGGGUGAGUAACGUCUGGGAAACUGCCCGAUGGAGGGGGAUAACUACUGGAAACGGUAGCUAAUACCGCAUAACGUCGCAAGACCAAAGUGGGGGACCUUCGGGCCUCACACCCUCGGAUGUGCCCAGAUGGGAUUAGCUAGUAGGUGGGGUAAGGGCUCACCUAGGCGACGAUCCCUAGCUGGUCUGAGAGGAUGACCAGCCACACUGGAACUGAGACACGGUCCAGACUCCUACGGGAGGCAGCAGUGGGGAAUAUUGCACAAUGGGCGCAAGCCUGAUGCAGCCAUGCCGCGUGUAUGAAGAAGGCCUUCGGGUUGUAAAGUACUUUCAGCGGGGAGGAAGGCGGUGAAGUUAAUAGCUUCACCGAUUGACGUUACCCGCAGAAGAAGCACCGGCUAACUCCGUGCCAGCAGCCGCCGUAA
rnacentral:rRNA from 1 species